rnacentral:piRNA from 1 species
UAAGGACAAAACGGGACUGGCUUGU